GACGAACGCUGGCGGCGUGCCUAACACAUGCAAGUCGAACGGAGAUGUAAUUUCGGUUAUAUCUUAGUGGCGAACGGGUGAGUAACGCGUGAGCAACCUGACUCUUAGAGGGGGAUAACACUCGGAAACGGGUGCUAAUACCGCAUAAGACCACGACAUGGCAUCAUGACGAGGUCAAAGGAGCAAUCCGCUGAGAGAGGGGCUCGCGUCCCAUUAGAUAGAUGGCGGGGUAACGGCCCACCAUGUCAACGAUGGGUAGCCGAGCUGAGAGGCUGAUCGGCCACACUGGAACUGAGACACGGUCCAGACUCCUACGGGAGGCAGCAGUGGGGAAUAUUGGGCAAUGGGCGCAAGCCUGACCCAGCAACGCCGCGUGAGGGAAGAAGGCUUUCGGGUUGUAAACCGCUUUUGUCAGGGAAGAAAUCCUUUGAGUUAAUACCUCGGGGGGAUGACGGUACCUGAAGAAUAAGCACCGGCUAACUACGUGCCAGCAGCCGCGGUAAAG
rnacentral:rRNA from 1 species